AAGCAGAUUUUAAACAUGUCAACAAAAAAUAAGUUCUUUCAUUUGCUCAUUUGUUUCUCCCUUCCAGCAUGUGAAGCACUAUAUGAGCUACUGAGGAUACAGGAAUAAACAACAACACAGGUGUGUCCUCUGCCCAAACCGGGCAUAAAUGAGCAUCCAAAUGAACACAAACAAAUCUGUGGCUUUUGAGGAAGAAGGACCAUUACAAAAGGAAACAAGAAACCAAGAAUUGGACGAAUUGUCUGGGCGCAGUGGCUCACGCCUGCAAUCCCUGCACUUUGGGAGGCCAAGGAAGGAGGAUUACCUGAGGGGAAGACCGUGUGCGGAUCUGGACCUUUCCAGAUAGCAGUUCUGACCAUGGCCUUCUAGCAUUCACUCUCCUGGCUCAUCACUCCACAGAUUGAGAAGAAAGCUCUGCCAAUGAUCCCAUCAUUUCUUUGUGAUACACAGAAGUAAGACUCACUGAAUAACAUCAGUGAAAUCUUUGUUAAAUGGGCCUUUGUGUAUAUGGUACUGUGUUGGGUUGCU
rnacentral:lncRNA from 1 species